CUCUCAAUCUUUCGAUUUGAGUACCUCGAGAUGUCCUCAUCAGGGACCUCAAACUUCCUUGGUUGAUAACCUUUCCAUGGGUUGCUACUAGCUUCUCAAACACAUAUCUGAUCAGAUCCAUUUUGGACAUCCACAAAGUGGUAUGAAUCAGCAUACACUGUCUCAGUCGGCGAGCAGCCUAUGCCGAAGUACAUCAAGUUUUUUCGAACAGUGAGUGUAUUGUUUCACAGUCGAUAAACUUUUUGCUUAGGUAAAUUGCAUACUCUUUUCGACAAGACUAGUCAUGCUGACUCAAUACGCACCUCGUAGACCCCUCGAGGGUUAUCAAGUACCGGAUUAACAGUUAUUUCUUUCACUGAGGUAUCAGAAUCAGAGGUUCCUACAACUUACCCUCUUUUUUUUU
rnacentral:lncRNA from 1 species